GACGAACGCUGGCGGCGUGCUUAACACAUGCAAGUCGAACGGUGAUCUCGGAGCUUGCUCCGGGUGAUCAGUGGCGAACGGGUGAGUAACACGUGAGUAACCUGCCCCUGGCUCUGGGAUAACCUCGGGAAACCGGGGCUAAUACCGGAUAUGACACGAGCGGGCAUCCGCUCGUGUGGAAAGUUUUUUCGGCCAGGGAUGGACUCGCGGCCUAUCAGCUUGUUGGUGGGGUAAUGGCCUACCAAGGCGACGACGGGUAGCCGGCCUGAGAGGGCGACCGGCCACACUGGGACUGAGACACGGCCCAGACUCCUACGGGAGGCAGCAGUGGGGAAUAUUGCGCAAUGGGCGAAAGCCUGACGCAGCGACGCCGCGUGAGGGAUGAAGGCCUUCGGGUUGUAAACCUCUUUCAGCGCCGAAGAAGCGAAAGUGACGGUAGGCGCAGAAGAAGCACCGGCUAACUACGUGCCAGCCGCCGCCGUAACAC
rnacentral:rRNA from 1 species